rnacentral:misc_RNA from 1 species
AUCUGGUGUUUGAUCAUGAAAGCAAUCAGGAGACCACAAAGACUAGCCCAUACUCUUUGUGUUCCGUUUCAUCAUCGAUAUCAUUAUGGUACAGGAAAUGGAAACUGAAAGAUUUGUUUCUAUUCAGAAGUGCUUCUGAGGGUAGAGCAAGCAGUAAAGAUCAAUUAAACAAGUUUUUGAAGAAAACUCGUGAACAGGAGGAGGACGCGAAGACUUCAAGCUUCAGAUCAACUGCUAGUAGUGUUGCAUCAUCAUCGGUAUCAA